CGGGAAACCAACGAGCCUACCCAAAGUCGUCCAUGGUUUCCACGCAUCCAACCCAACCCAAACCCAGCCUAGCUCAACCUGGGACGCGACCAAUACGUACACAAACUCCAGCCACGUCCAACGAAGGCCAAGAAUAUCAUUCGGCUUUUCCUGCGGUAGUUUGCACGCGACGGACAACGAGCCAAAUGGAACCGUUCCUAUGAACGAUCUGGCGAAGACGUUCAAUAACAGCGAGCGAACCGACGACCAACAUAGGUAGUAGCAAAUAUCGUAGAAUAUCGUUGAAUUCGUUUCACUAUAUUUGACCCGUUCCGAAUGAAAUGACCUGAAAUUCUAUGGUAAUUUCUACGCGAUGAAUCCGAUAAACGUAUAAUAUAUAAGAGAAUGUUACAUAGAAUGAUUUUGUCUUUUUAACUCUGAAUGGAUAUUAUUGGACCUUAUGUAAUUAUAAGAAUUGAAGUAAGACUCGAAUUAAAGGGAUAUUUUAUAUUUUAUAUCAUCUGAUUAACCUUGUUAAAAGUUUCUAUUGUGCAAGAUACAGGGUAUAUAUAUAUAUAUAU
rnacentral:misc_RNA from 1 species